UACGUAGGGGGCAAGCGUUGUCCGGAAUCAUUGGGCGUAAAGAGCGCGUAGGCGGCCCGAUAAGUCCGCUGUGAAAGUCAAGGGCUCAACCCUUGAAUGCCGGUGGAUACUGUCGGGCUAGAGUCCGGAAGAGGCGAGUGGAAUUCCUGGUGUAGCGGUGAAAUGCGCAGAUAUCAGGAGGAACACCAAUGGCGAAGGCAGCUCGCUGGGACGGUACUGACGCUGAGGCGCGAAAGCGUGGGAGCAAACAGG
rnacentral:rRNA from 1 species